AAGCUGUCUUGUCGAUGGUCUCACUGAUGCCUCUUCUGCAUUCAAAGUUCCUCGACCCGGGCCAGAUACACUCCAGUUCACAGUAGAUGUCUUCCACUUUGCUAAUGACUCCAGAAACAUGUGACAGAAGAAGCAGAUGUCACCGUGGGGCCACUGAUCUUCCUGGACAGGAGUGGUGACUAUGAAGUAGAGCAGUGGGCCUUGCCUUCUGACACCUCAGUGGUGCUGCUGGGUAUAGGCCUGGCCGUGGUGGCAUCCCUGACUCUGACUGCUGUUAUCCUGGUUCUCACCAGGAGGUGUCGCACUGCCUCCCGCCCUGUGUCUGCUUCCGAAUAAAAGAAGAAAGCAAUA
rnacentral:sRNA from 1 species